UUUUGAUGGCGACCGGCGGACGGGUGCGUAACASGUAUGUAACCUACCUUUUUCUAGAANAUAGCCUGAGGAAACUCGGAUUAAUAUUCUAUAAUAUAGUAUUUUCGCAUGAAAAUAUUAUUAAAGCAGAAAUGCGGAAAAAGAUGGGCAUGCGCCCGAUUAGUUAGUUGGUGGGGUAAAGGCCUACCAAGACGAUGAUCGGUAGGGGGCCUGAGAGGGUGAUCCCCCACACUGGUACUGAGAUACGGACCAGACUCCUACGGGAGGCAGCAGUGAGGAAUAUUGGUCAAUGGAGGAAACUCUGAACCAGCCACGCCGCGUGCAGGAAGAAUGCCUUAUGGGUUGUAAACUGCUUUUGUUUAGGAAUAAAAAUUUCUACGUGAUAGAAAUUGUGAAGGUACUAAACGAAUAAGUGUCGGCAAACUCCGUGCCAGCAGCCGCGGUAAUACGGAGGACACAAGCGUUAUCCGGAUUUAUUGGGUUUAAAGAGUGCGUAGGCGGUUUAUUAAGUCAGUAGUGAAAUGUUACAGCUUAACUGUUAAAAUGGCUAAUGAUACUGAUAGACUUGAGUGAGAUUGGAGUAACUGGAAUGUGUGGUGUAGCGGUGAAAUGCAUAGAGAUCACACAGAACACCGAUCGCGAAAGCAGGUUACUAAAUCUAUACUGACGCUGAGGCACGAAAGCGUGGGGAGCAAACAGGAUUAGAUACCCUGGUAGUCCACGCCGUAAACGAUGAUCACUAGUCGUUGGAUUUUAUUAUUCAGUGGCUAAGCGAAAGUGAUAAGUGAUCCACCUGGGGAGUACGAUCGCAAGGUUGAAACUCAAAGGAAUUGACGGGGGCCCGCACAAGCGGUGGAGCAUGUGGUUUAAUUCGAUGAUACGCGAGGAACCUUACCAAGGUUUAAAUGUACUACGAAUAAGCUAGAAAUAGUUUAGUCUUCGGACGGAGUACAAGAUGCUGCAUGGUUGUCGUCAGCUCGUGCCGUGAGGUGUUGGGUUAAGUCCCUCAACGAGCGCAACCCUCAUUGUUAGUUGCCAACGAAUAAUGUCGGGGACUCUAGCAAGACUGCCGACGUAAGUCGAGAGGAAGGUGGGGACGACGUCAAAUCAUCACGGCUCUUAUAUCUUGGGCUACACACGUGCUACAAUGGUCGGUACAAAGGGUUGCUA
rnacentral:rRNA from 1 species